AGAGUUUGAUCAUGGCUCAGAACGAACGCUGGCGGCGUGCUUAACACAUGCAAGUCGAGUGCGCGUCCGUAGCAAUACGGAUGGCGCACGGCGCACGGGUGCGUAACACGUGGGCAAUCUGCCCUUCGAUGGGGAAUAACUCCGGGAAACCGAAGCUAAUUCCGCAUAACAUUCCUUGGACCUCGGUUCGAGGACUCAAAGCCGUAAGGCGUCGAAGGAGGAGCCCGCGCCCGAUUAGCUAGUUGGUGAGGUAACGGCUCACCAAGGCAAUGAUCGGUAGCUGGUCUGAGAGGAUGGCCAGCCACACUGGAACUGAGACACGGUCCAGACUCCUACGGGAGGCAGCAGUGGGGAAUCUUGCGCAAUGGGCGAAAGCCUGACGCAGCGACGCCGCGUGGGGGAUGAAGCAUCUCGGUGUGUAAACCCCUUUCGACUGGGACGAAUGCCUCGCAAGAGGAGUGACGGUACCAGUAGAAGAAGCCCCGGCUAACUACGUGCCAGCAGCCGCGGUAAGACGUAGGGGGCCAGCGUUGUUCGGAAUUACUGGGUGUAAAGGGUUCGUAGGCGGUGUGGCAAGUCGGGAGUGAAAUCUAUGGGCUUAACCCAUAGGCUGCUUCCGAAACUGCUGUGCUUGAGUGUGGGAGAGGCGCGUGGAAUUGCAGGUGUAGCGGUGAAAUGCGUAGAUAUCUGCAGGAACACCCGUGGCGAAAGCGGCGCGCUGGACCACUACUGACGCUGAGAACGAAAGCUAGGGGAGCAAACAGGAUUAGAUACCCCCGUAGUCC
rnacentral:rRNA from 1 species